AAUAUAGGUAAUCAUUGAAAAUUCCCGGGGUAUAUUUAAUAGUGCGGGAUUUCCCUAUAGUUUUAUUUUUAUAUCCCACUCAAUACCGUUUUCAUACAUAACCAAGCAGCGAUCUAUUUCUUGGCGGAAAUAUUCUUCUGGAAGAAGGAAGGAAGUGAAGGGAUACCAUCAAGGAUACGAAGUGUUCUAUUAGUAUGUGGAAGAGAUGUUUUGUGUAAGACUGGCAACUUUAAAAAGUGUGACUUUCGAAUAGCGGUGUACUAUUGUUGCCUUUAUUUAUGUAUAUGUAUGAUAGUAAGUGAGGACUUUGUUAAGGAACAUCAGCAAGGGAAGAAGUCAAAGUAUAUAGCGUGAAGAUAUCUUAAAUAUUAAGAUCUGCGAAACCAUAUUCUGGUUUUGAUAAUACUACUGAUGCUUUUACCUAUACAUGAGUUCCGUAAAAGAUGAGCUUUCAAUUGGGAUAUUUGACUGGUAAAGUUGAGAAACUUGUCAAAAUUCCUACGGAUGCCACACAAUUUGGUUGACCGUUAUGGAAUAUCUUAGUCACAGAUGACCACGGCGUUCAUGGUGAAGGUUAACCAAGAAGAGCGCUAUGGACAAAAUGCUAUUUUCCUUUGUAAUCAGACCAAUUUACAGAACAGAAAGAGGAAGUAAAUUGAUUCAUGAGAAUUUGGCUGAUUUCAACGAAUUCAACGGAAAGGGAGAUAAUACCAGUUAAGCUGAUGUACAUCAAUUAUGUUUCCCACGUCCUUUGCAUUUAUACAAUAGUAUUAAUUAUACAGGAAUAAUGAAGAAGCCUUUUUAACGACCUACCUCCCCCUAAAAUAAAUUAAAUAUUAAAACCAAAAAGAAAUAAAGAUUCAAAAUAAAAAAUACAAAAAACAAAAGCGAAAACAAAACACUAGCUAGCAUAAAACAAAUAAAAAAAGAAGAAACAGUUUUGCAACUGUAAAAGUAUUUGUUAAAGAAAAAGAAAAAAUAUUUCUAUGAUUAGAAAUAAACAUGUUUUAAUACUUACUCCAUG